UUAAUAAAAAGGAGAUGGAUGACUAAACUAUCUCAGAAAAGAAUAGCAAGCAACAACUACAUUAGCCUCAAAAGGCAAACACAAACAUGCCAUAAAUGAAUAUCUUAUAAAGAUAAAGAAAGGGCAGAGGAGUGGAAAGAGCCCGCUUCAACCAGUUUGCACUAAUGUCUAGUCGAGUUGCAGCUGUAGGCUGUAGACUGUAGUUGUAUAUAAAAGCCACUCAAAGAUAAUUUUCUUAUAAAAUCAUUAGAUUAUUGCUACCAUUACCAACUUGUUUCCCACUCCUUGUUCAAGCAAAUAUUUUCAAGAAAAAGUUCAACACUCAGAAAAAAAUAAUAACAAUAAAAGAAGUCUGAUAAUAACUCAAUUAUUUUAUUUUUCUCUCCUUUCAUCUUAUAUUGUAAUUGACUGGUACAUGAAUGAUCCAAUGGAUUCUUGGAUAGGACAUUAUAUUUGCAGGUAUGAUGAAUAUUUAACUGAAUAGUGAAUAAAUAAA
rnacentral:misc_RNA from 1 species